UACGAACUGUGCGAACGUUAUUCGGAAUCACUGGGCUUACAGGGUGCGUAGGCGGCUGUUCAAGUCUGACGUGAAAUCCCACGGCUCAACCGUGGAACGGCGUUGGAAACUGGAGAGCUAGAGUGAGCUAGGGGCGCAUGGAACUUCCAGUGGAGCGGUGAAAUGUGUUGAUAUUGGAAGGAACACCGGAGCCGAAAGGGAUGCGCUGGGGCUCAACUGACGCUGAGGCACGAAAGCCAGGGUAGCGAACGGG
rnacentral:rRNA from 1 species